rnacentral:rRNA from 2 species
UACGGGGGGGGCAAGCGUUGUUCGGAAUUACUGGGCGUAAAGGGCUCGUAGGUGGCCAACUAAGUCAGACGUGAAAUCCCCAGGCUUAACCUGGGAACUGCGUCUGAUACUGGAUGGCUUGAAUUCGGGAGAGGGAUGCAGAAUUCCAGGUGUAGCGGUGAAAUGCGUAGAUAUCUGGAGGAAUACCGGUGGCGAAGGCGGCAUCCUGGACCGAGAUUGACACUGAUGAGCGAAAGCUAGGGGAGCAAACGGG